UCCUGGGAUUGGACUAUGGUUUGAUCAC
rnacentral:piRNA from 1 species